UCCUGAAAUUCUUCACAAAAAAUAUUUGGUAAUCCACAAGGCUAAUGAUACAAGCCACAUUUCAUUUUUUAUUUGUUGACUUUUUCCUUCCAAUAAUUAAUGGUUAUUAGAAAAACCAUGAAACUGUUGAAAAUAUUACGGAAAAUGGAAAACUUAUGUUAAGUCAGACCAUUUGGACUUGACCGAUCACCGUAGAAAAUAUCAAACAAGUUAAGAAAGCCGUCUAUUUUUUUAUUUUUUUGACAGCACGAAAUCCGUCUAGUUAAUUUUCCCACGCAACAUUUAAUCAUUUGUAUUUUUAAAAAUAGCAACCAGCUAGAGGAAGAUUCAUAUACAUGUGCUUGAGAUCUCUAUAUGGGAUAUUAAAGUUGAACUCACCGUUCCAAAAUUUAACAUGACAGGGGGUAAUUAAUUCAUUGGACCUCAAAAGCAAAUUUAUUCUCCAAAACCGCGAGUGGCUAAUUCAUUCGACCUCCAAUGCAAUGUUAAAUAGGAGGCCACUAUUAGCUCUACAUCAGGUUUUUAAAUUACACCUUUUUAAAUUAAAGCUGGGGCAACAUAGGAGAUUUAAUUGUCAUCUCAAUAUUUUACACGCACAGAACCUUUUUGUUAUUUCUAGACCUAGUGAAGGUUGGCGAUACGCAUGGCCCACAUUUCAGAGAGUGUGUUCUUACAGUCCUCCUGCUAAUAUAGCUACCAUAACUCUAUAGUCAACUGUUAAGACCGUCAUUAUUUAAUUUCUAAUCCAUGAUGAGGUAUACACACAAGGGACGGAUCGGGUGACACAUAUAGC
rnacentral:lncRNA from 1 species